rnacentral:tRNA from 1 species
GUAAGUGUAGUUUAAUAAAAACCUCAGACUGUGAUUCUGCCAAUAGAAAUUAUAAAUUUCUCACUUACC